rnacentral:rRNA from 1 species
UACGUAGGGUGCAAGCGUUAAUCGGAAUUACUGGGCGUAAAGCGUGCGCAGGCGGUUAUGUAAGACAGUUGUGAAAUCCCCGGGCUCAACCUGGGAACUGCAUCUGUGACUGCAUAGCUAGAGUACGGUAGAGGGGGAUGGAAUUCCGCGUGUAGCAGUGAAAUGCGUAGAUAUGCGGAGGAACACCGAUGGCGAAGGCAAUCCCCUGGACCUGUACUGACGCUCAUGCACGAAAAGCGUGGGGGAGCAAACAGG